ACAAGGAUAGCUCAGUCAGUAGAGCAUGAGACUCUUAAUCUUAGGGUUGUGUAUUUGAGCCCCGUUUUGUGCA